GAGCUCAGUGGAUUUUUCACUGCAGGGAGCUGGGUCUAAAUUAUGUUCUGAUGAUAUCAUUCCAACCACAAGAAAAAAAGUCACGUCGGAUAACUUUUGGAGUUUUGGCCUGAUGUGCUGAAGAUUUGAUUGGUCCAGCACAGUGUUUUCUUUUAGUGUCUGCAUCAUUUUUACUGUGUAAAUGUGCACAUAUAUUACAUUUAUCUGUCAUUUUUGGUCUAUGUUGGAAACGCAGACAACAGUAGGCGAACAGAACUUUGUAUUUCCUUGAAAAGAAAGUCCAGGGGCUAAAUGUGCUGGGUACUUUAUGUGGAAAUGCAACUUUAAUACUAAGUCAGUGUAAAAAGAACCCCUAAUCCUCCAUUGAAAUCGAGUUCAAUAAGACAUCCUUGGUUUGCCCCUGUUGGGCCUGCAGCACGUCAUGCUAGCUGGAAGGCCCUGGUUAGCCCAGUUUGGCCCAGUUUGGCUCAGUGUCUAAACACUGGGUAAUGCUAUUUGAUACUCUGGUCAGAGCCAGGUCCUUUCUUCUCUCUUUUGUGGCUUUUAUGUGUGUUUGGGUGGUGUUACUGCCAUAUUGUCUGGUAAUGUAGUGGACCGCCUACCAGGAAGACUGAAUGAUCACCCUGUGUGUGUGUGUGUGUGUGUGUGUGUGUGCAUCCUGGUCCCAUUAGAAAAGCAGUCUUGGUGCGGUUCAUUAGUCCCGUUGCCAGCAGCUGAAUGAGAAUCCAAACACCUCGGAAACGGUCAGAGAAAAGCUUUCUAGAGCUUUCUGUGCUGCCGAACACUCGGGUCAUGUUCUUGUUUUAAGGCCACCAGCGCAACAGGAAGACACACACCACCAAUACAGAUUAUCAGCUGACCACUUGAUUUUGUUAAG